AGCAGAGUAGGCGUUUGUGCGUUAAGUGCCGGGUGAACGGGGAGUUGACACCCGGACGAAAAGCCGGAAGGCUUGCGGUACAGGCGCCGCAUCCCGCUGCU
rnacentral:ncRNA from 2 species